AUUGAACGCUGGCGGCGUGCUUAACACAUGCAAGUCGUACGCGAAAGGGACUUCGGUCCCGAGUAAAGUGGCGCACGGGUGAGUAACACGUGGAUAAUCUGCCUCUAUGAUGGGGAUAACAGUUGGAAACGACUGCUAAUACCGAAUACGCUCAUGAUGAACUUUAUGAGGAAAGGUGGCCUCUGCUUGCAAGCUAUCGCAUAGAGAUGAGUCCGCGUCCCAUUAGCUAGUUGGUGGGGUAACGGCCUACCAAGGCAACGAUGGGUAGCCGAUCUGAGAGGAUGAUCGGCCACACUGGAACUGAAACACGGUCCAGACUCCUACGGGAGGCAGCAGUGGGGAAUAUUGCGCAAUGGGCGAAAGCCUGACGCAGCGACGCCGCGUGAGGGAUGAAGGUCUUCGGAUCGUAAACCUCUGUCAGAAGGGAAGAAACUAGGGUGCUCUAAUCA
rnacentral:rRNA from 1 species